rnacentral:lncRNA from 1 species
AUGCAGCAUAUCUGUCCCAUCCACGCUGUGUGUUUGGAUGUAUUUGAAGAAUGCAGGGGAUCCAGCCUUUCUCGUCUCAGAGGGCACUGUAACCACUGGAUUCUGGAGGUACCCUUCCUCUCAGCCUUUCCUACUGAAGCCAUGUCAGUGUGCAGUGGAGAAUUUGGCAGUGCUGGCGUGGUGAGGAAGAAUCAUCCUGGGAUAAUUUAUUUCUGUCUCACGUCCAAAUCCAAAAUUAUUUUAUUGCCUGGCAUACUUCCAGAACACCAUGGACUCACAAAACUCUGUGCUGCAUGAUGAUACAAGAUCAAGGGGUGUACUGAUACCCAGUGAUGAUAUGGCAUUGUCUUGUUCUUGAAAGAAAUUGAGAAUGGCACUGUUCAUGAUGUCUGAACUGUUACAGCAUCUCUGUAAAUUGUAAGAAUGGUUCAGUGAAAUUGGAAGAAGAUGUAACUGGAAUGAG